UACAGAGGGUGCAAGCGUUUGUUCGGAAUUAUUGGGCGUAAAGGGCGCGUAGGCGGUGCGGUAAGUCUGUAGUGAAAUCUCUGGGCUCAACUCAGAGUCUGCUAUAGAAACUGCCGUGCUUGAGUGUGGGGAGAGGUGAGUGGAAUUCCCCGGUGUAGCGGUGAAAUGCGUAGAUAUCGGGAGGAACACCUGUGGCGAAAGCGGCCAGCUAGACCAGUUCUGACACUGAGGCACGAAAGCGUGGGGAGCAAACAGG
rnacentral:rRNA from 1 species